UACGUAGGGGGCAAGCGUUGUCCGGAAUCAUUGGGCGUAAAGCGCGUGUAGGCGGCUCGGUAAGUCUGCUGUGAAAGUCCAGGGCUCAACCCUGGGAUGCCGGUGGAUACUGCAGGGCUAGAGUCCGGAAGAGGCGAGUGGAAUUCCAGGUGUAGCGGUGAAAUGCGUAGAGAUCUGGAGGAACACCAAUUGCGAAGGCAGCUCGCUGGGACGUUACUGACGCUGAGACGCGAAAGCGUGGGGAGCAAACAGG
rnacentral:rRNA from 1 species